AUUGAACGCUGGCGGAAUGCUUUACACACGCAAGUCGAACGGCAGCACGGGAGCUUGCUCCUGGUGGCGAGUGGCGAACGGGUGAGUAAUAUAUCGGAACGUAUCCAAUAAUGGGGGAUAACCAAUCGAAAGGUUGGCUAAUACCGCAUACGCCCUACGGGGCAAGCAGGGGAUCUUCGGACCUUGCGUUGAUGGAGCGGCCGAUAUCGGAUUAGCUAGUUGGUGGGGUAAAGGCCUACCAAGGCGACGAUCCGUAGCUGGUCUGAGAGGACGACCAGCCACACUGGAACUGAGACACGGUCCAGACUCCUACGGGAGGCAGCAGUGGGGAAUUUUGGACAAUGGGGGCAACCCUGAUCCAGCCAUUCCGCGUGAGUGAAGAAGGCCUUCGGGUUGUAAAGCUCUUUCGCAAGGGAAGAAACGAUACUGGUGAAUAUCCAGUGUUAAUGACGGUACCUUGAUAAGAAGCACCGGCUAACUACGUGCCAGCAGCCGCAGUAACAC
rnacentral:rRNA from 1 species